UACGUAGGCAACAAGCGUUGUUCGGAAUUACUGGGCGUAAAGAGUGUGUAGGCGGUGUCGUAAGUUUGGCGUGAAAUCUCCCGGCUUAACUGGGAGGGUGCGCCGAAGACUGCGAUGCUUGAGGGUUGGAGAGGAAAGUGGAAUUUCCGGUGUAGCGGUGAAAUGCGUAGAUAUCAGAAGGAACACCUGUGGUGUAGACGGCUUUCUGGACAACUCCUGACGCUGAGACACGAAGGCGUGGGUAGCAAGCAGG
rnacentral:misc_RNA from 1 species